CUGGAGUAUGUGUGACGUGUCAUAAAUUAGACCCAUUAGUCAAAUGCAAUUCACAUCCCUCCCCAUAUAAUCUGGAUUGGUUUGCAUCAUCUUGUUAUGAAGAAAUUGUACUGGUGAAAUAACCCAGAAGCGUAAACCCUUCUUGAAAUUAUACAUACCAUCAUUAGUGUAUAUAUUAUGUAAAAUCUAUUGUUGUGUGUUUAUAAAAAGAUCAAAUUUGUUUUUUGGUAUCUUCUUCAAAUUUCAAGUACUUUAAAAAAUCAAUACUUUUUGAAAAUUACUAUAUCAACUUAUCAAAUUCAG
rnacentral:lncRNA from 1 species